rnacentral:hammerhead_ribozyme from 1 species
AUCCAAUUGACGAGUUCCAAAUAGGACGAAGCUCGCAUCCUGGAU